rnacentral:rRNA from 1 species
GAUUAUGGCUCAGGAUGAACGCUAGCUACAGGUUUAACACAUGCAAGUCGAGGGGCAGCAUGGUCUUAGCUUGCUAAGGCCGAUGGCGACCGGCGCACGGGUGAGUAACGCGUAUCCAACCCCUGCCUUACACUCUUGGACAGCCUUCUGAAAGGGAGAUUAAUACAAGAUGUUAUCAUGAGUAAGCAUUUUCGCAUGAUUAAAGGUUUACCGGUGUAAGAUGGGGAUGCGUUCCAUUAG